AGCGAACGCUGGCGGCAGGCUUAACACAUGCAAGUCGAGCGGGCGUAGCAAUACGUCAGCGGCAGACGGGUGAGUAACGCGUGGGAACGUACCUUUUGGUUCGGAACAACCCAGGGAAACUUGGGCUAAUACCGGAUAAGCCCUUACGGGGAAAGAUUUAUCGCCAAAAGAUCGGCCCGCGUCUGAUUAGCUUGUUGGUGAGGUAACGGCUCACCAAGGCGACGAUCAGUAGCUGGUCUGAGAGGAUGAUCAGCCACAUUGGGACUGAGACACGGCCCAAACUCCUACGGGAGGCAGCAGUGGGGAAUAUUGGACAAUGGGCGCAAGCCUGAUCCAGCCAUGCCGCGUGAGUGAUGAAGGCCCUAGGGUUGUAAAGCUCUUUUGUGCGGGAAGAUAAUGACUGUACCGCAAGAAUAAGCCCCGGCUAACUUCGUGCCAGCCGCCGCUGU
rnacentral:rRNA from 1 species